GAUGAACGCUGGCGGCGUGCCUAAUACAUGCAAGUCGAGCGAACAGACGAGGAGCUUGCUCCUCUGACGUUAGCGGCGGACGGGUGAGUAACACGUGGAUAACCUACCUAUAAGACUGGGAUAACUUCGGGAAACCGGAGCUAAUACCGGAUAAUAUAUUGAACCGCAUGGUUCAAUAGUGAAAGACGGUUUUGCUGUCACUUAUAGAUGGAUCCGCGCCGCAUUAGCUAGUUGGUAUGGUAACGGCUUACCAAGGCAACGAUGCGUAGCCGACCUGAGAGGGUGAUCGGCCAACCUGAAACGGAGACACGGUCCAAACCCCUAGGGGGGGCAGCAGUGGGGAAUCUUCCCCAAUGGGCGAAAGCUUGAGGGAGCAACCCCGCGUGGGUGAUGAAGGUUUUCGGACCGUAAACCCCUUUUAUUGGGAAAAAAAAAAUGUGAAAGUAACUAUGCCCGUCUUGACGGUACCAAAUCAAAAAGCCACGGCUAACUACGU
rnacentral:rRNA from 1 species